UACGUAGGGUGCAAGCGUUGUCCGGAAUUAUUGGGGCGUAAAGAGCUCGUAGGCGGUUUGUCGCGUCUGCUGUGAAAACCCGAGGCUCAACCUCGGGCCUGCAGUGGGUACGGGCAGACUAGAGUGCGGUAGGGGAGAUUGGAAUUCCUGGUGUAGCGGUGGAAUGCGCAGAUAUCAGGAGGAACACCAAUGGCGAAGGCAGAUCUCUGGGCCGUAACUGACGCUGAGGAGCGAAAGCAUGGGGAGCGAACAGG
rnacentral:rRNA from 1 species